GUUAAGUUUUAUUCUUGCUUUAUUUUUAUUCAGUGUCUUUUUGUUCUAUAUGUAAGUUUGUGCGUGAGUUAUUUAGUGUAAUUCUAGAUGGGUUAUGUUAUUAAUUUGUGAAAUUCUCAUUAGUUAUUAUUGGUUGGUCAAGUAUUCUUGUAUUCAGCAAUAUAUUUUAGUUUCGGUUAAAUUUUGUGCCAGCAGCCGCGGUUAUACCUUGGAAGCGUUUGAAUAUGUUCGGUAUAGGUAGUUAUAUUAUUUAGUUUUUGAUUUUGUUUAGGUGGUUGUUAGGUGAAAUUUUUUUUUCUUUUGUUUGUCUUUAUUUCUAUUUGGAGGCUAUGAAAUUCCUUUAUUAAACUAGGAUUAGAUACCCUAUUAUUUUGGAAUGUUAAUUGUUUUGUAUUUGAGUAGUAUUAGUUAUGUUCUUGAAACUUAAAGAAUUUGGCGGUAUCUCAUUCCGUCCAGAGGAAUCUGUCUCGUUAUCGAUAGUCCGCGUUGGACCUUACUUAGUAUAUUUGGUUUGUAUACCGCCGUUUAUUGAUUAUCUUUUUAGAGUUUAUUUAAUUUUCUGGUUUCUUUAUUUUGGUUUAUUUCAGGUCAAGGUGCAGCUUUUUUCUAAGUGGAUUGAUGGAUUACAUUGUUAUUUGUUUCUGGAUUGUUGAUUUAAAUAUUGGUAUGAAAUUGGAUUUGGUUGUAAUAAUUUGUAGAUUGUUAUUAUGAUAAUUGGUUCUGGGAUAUGCACACAUCGCCCGUCGCUCUCGUUGGUUUUUAAUGAGAUAAGUCGUAACAAAGUGGUUGUACCGGAAGGUGCAGCUGGAUUGAU
rnacentral:ncRNA from 1 species